rnacentral:lncRNA from 1 species
GACACCACACUCCCUCAAUUGUUUACCAAAUAUAAUAAUUUUGUGACAUCUGAAAAGAAUGGUCAUAUUCCAUGCCCAAGAGAUUUUAUUGGACAUGCGUACGCUGUGACGAUAAACUAGUCUUUUGUUGCUCUAUGACGCUGUCAUUAGGUAUUUAUCGGACAUGAACGGCUAGAGUUGUGGACAUUAAAAGCGACAGUCUCUUCUGCAAGACAAUAGUUGAAAACCGAUAAACGCUCAGAAAUAACUGUGAUUAUAAUAAACAGGGAAAGGUAAACAUGGAACAAUUAUCUAGAAUGUCGUCUGUUCUGGUCACGUGUGUACUCUGCUUGACAGUAGCAUUGUCGACUGCACUGCCUGUGACUAUUGAAUCUUUAGGAGGAUACAACAGUGAUAUUGACAACUCGAACAUUUUCGAUUCAUGCGCCAUAUGUAUUUCAUAUUCCGAUGCUGGCGCAUGCGCACUGUGUAAUUAUGAACUAGCUGACAGGUCUGUUGAGAAACGAUCUGGCAGAUUUAACCCUUUGCUGAGAGGAGGCUAUCCGAAAAAGAAUACCUAUUUUCCAUAUUAUAAUCCAUUGAGUCGAGGAAGUUACCCUAAAAAGUCGUACACAAGAGUGUAUCAUCCAUUCUUGAGAGGGGGUUACAGAGGCCCGAUUCUGCCACAGAGGAGCUACUGGAACACGGAUGAUGAUGUUGAAGAGCCUUGAGGUUGAAAGUUGAUCAACUCAUAAACAUUUGGUUGUGAAUGCAACAUGGAUAAGUGUACUUGUAUGCGCUGUCCUAAAAAAGAUUAAAUGAUAUGAAUGUUAAAUGCAGAAUGUUUAAAUGAGAAUUAAGAGAGACACUUUCAGCUACAUGAUGAGAAUUUUCUGGGAAAAUACCAGUUAAUCCAAAUGAGCGAAAUUUAACUUGACCUUUCGAUGAAAUUACAUUGGUGGUUACAUCAAUUCUGCUGUUACAGAAUCUAUCAGACAUUAUUCUAAAAGCUUCUUCGGGCUGUAUUUAAGAAUUGAUGACUUUAAUGUAGAAGUUUGAUGGCGAAGAUAUGCCAAAGGUCUGUAAAGGAAUGUUUAAUAGAUGAAAGGAAGACGUAUUGUUCAUGUGCCUAUCCAACCAAAACUUCUUGAUAAUAUAGAAAAGAAAAAUGCUUUGACAACAAGAGAGUGUGUAAUGUUUAUUUACAAGUUAUGUCUUUGCGUUUGAGAAAAUGUUACAUGGUAGAUAUUAUAUUUUUGAUCUAGUCAAGAUAAAAGUGUAUGCGAAUAAGUGUUUGUGUCAUAACUUGCCGGCAAAAUACCUCAGUAAACCCAUUAAAGAAGAUACGGAGUAUACUGACAAAUAUCUUAUUGAAUCCACACAUCUUACAAUUCAGGAAACGUUCGUGUUUUCAUUGUAUCAAGGUUCAAACGAUUGUUUCAAGAAUUACUGAUAUCACUCAAGUUCAAUUCUGAUAAAUGUAUAUCUCGAUUUUCUUUUAGAAAUAAAUAGUUAUAAAAAAAUCCGAAUGCCAUUUCGCAAAUUGUUUUGUAAUGAGCUAAAUAAAAUCUGGUAAUAUUUACCUAUUUGCUUCUUU